GAAGUUUUCAGAGAUGAGAAUGUGCCUUCGGGAACCGUGAGACAGGUGCUGCAUGGCUGUCGUCAGCUCGUGUUGUGAAAUGUUGGGUUAAGUCCCGCAACGAGCGCAACCCUUAUCCUUUGUUGCCAGCGGUCCGGCCGGGAACUCAAAGGAGACUGCCAGUGAUAAACUGGAGGAAGGUGGGGAUGACGUCAAGUCAUCAUGGCCCUUACGACCAGGGCUACACACGUGCUACAAUGGCGCAUACAAAGAGAAGCGACCUCGCGAGAGCAAGCGGACCUCAUAAAGUGCGUCGUAGUCCGGACUGGAGUCUGCAACUCGACUCCAUGAAGUCGGAAUCGCUAGUAAUCGUGGAUCAGAAUGCCACGGUGAAUACGUUCCCGGGCCUUGUACACACCGCCCGUCACACCAUGGGAGUGGGUUGCAAAAGAAGUAGGUAGCUUAACCUUCGGGAGGGCGCUUACCACUUUGUGAUUCAUGACUGGGGUGAAGUCGUAACAAGGUAACCGUAGGGGAACCUGCGGUUGGA
rnacentral:rRNA from 1 species